CGGGAAACUGGGGAUAAUACCCUAUAGUCUAUGGAUGCUGGAAUGCUUCUUAGUUGAAAGGUCCGCCGCUGUAGGAUGGGUCUGCGGCCGAUGAGGUUGUUGUUGGGGUAACGGCCCAACAAGCCUGUAAUCGGUACGGGUUGUGGGAGCAAGAGCCCGGAGAUGGAUUCUGAGACACGAAUCCAGGCCCUACGGGGCGCAGCAGGCGCGAAAACUUUACAAUGCGGGAAACCGUGAUAAGGGAACUCUGAGUGCCCGUAAAAUCGGGCUGUCAAUCAGUUUAGACAACUGGGGAAGAAAGGGCCGGGCAAGACCGGUGCCAGCCGCCGCGGUAACA
rnacentral:rRNA from 1 species